GUGUGUGCUGUGCUUAUGCUUCCCCUGCCCUUCUGAAUCUGUAAUUGUCGAGCUGAUGCAUUCUGGAGCUUGCAAAGGUGAUAGCAGAACCAAAGAGUUGCAGCUCAGCAUGAUCAGUAGAUGCCUGAGUGUGACAUGGUUAAUUUCUUAAAAGCAACACCUUCAUCCAGCAUCACCGUGUGAAGUAUACCCUCCCUCUACCUUUAGCKUUCACACAUAAUACAGUAUGCCUCCAAAUGUUUCAGAACAAACAAAACUGAAAUUGGCUUAUAUGACUCAUAAGAAAACCACUAAAAGACUCAUUCAUAUGUUAGAGAGGACUUAGAGGACACCUAGCAGGUGAUUGUUACUCAAAAGGCAAUGUAUCCUCUUUUUUAUGUUGGCUAAUUUGGUCACACUGUUGUAUCUGUUGUGGGCUUUAUUCUUUUACUUAAGCAUACAUUCCUUGGGGCAGGGGCCAGCUUUGUGUGUGUCUUGUUAAAGACCAUAUUAAGAGUUCCUGCUGUUGCAAUAAGAUAAUUUAAUCUCUGGGUUGUUGGUCUAAAUCCUGCUCAGAUAAGGGAUAAUCAUAUGUUCUUGCCAUUUAAGUGCCUGUGUGAAAUGCGGUACCCAAUGGCUGUAUGGAAACAACACAGAGCUGUCAGCACCGAGGGCACUGGCAAUACUGUUAGCACUGCAUGCGACAAAAUGCACUGUGGAAACCUGCCUGUCUUCAUCAUGAGACAGCCUCUUCUUCACUUCAGGCAGCGCUGAAGCGUUCAGUUGGGAGCAGUGUGAGCAAACUGUUCACCCAGACUACAAAUAUUGCCAGAACUAUUCAUACAGCAUUCUCCACAAGCUCUAAAGCAGUAACUACAAAAUAAUAUUACAAAAUUACAAUAAUAUUACAAAAUCAAUAAUUAAACAACACAAAUAUUUGCACAUGUUCCACCAACAUGUCACAUAUGUAACCAGUGUGUUUCRUGUCAGGCUCUAGUAUCUUAAACAACAGAGGAAAUAGAUGCAUUAAAAAUUCUUUGCCUUUGAACCUACGUUUUACUCUUAGUCAAUAUUGUUUUAUGUCAAGAACUCAUGGUACAAUUUUUAUUUUGCCACUGCAAAAGUCUUUUUCUUUCCUACUUUUAAAAGACAAUGCAGAUAACGCAUAGAUUUAAAAGUGUAGGUGUUCCUUAUAUGGCUGUACUAUAAUAA